rnacentral:misc_RNA from 1 species
AAGUCGUAACAAGGUUUCCGUAGGUGAACCUGCGGAAGGAUCAUUAACACGUAUCCAACGUUAAACCCCCCCGUGAACCUUCAUUGUGCUCCCCCAUUCCGUUAGGACGCGGCAAUCCCUGGUAAAUCAUCGCCGAACAGUUUUGAUUCAGGGAUCUCUGCGAAGAGAGCGGUUGUAGCGCGAGGUAAGUGGCCUGGCAUUCCUCUGCUUGUUAGUGUCUGACAGUGUCACUAGCUCUGUACGAAUGGCGCAGUCACGAUCGCUAGAGGCCGACACGGCCGGCGACCGGGUCACCGGGCAUAGACCCCCCUAUCACCUUUGCAUGAAAACGGGCCUGCGCUUAAUUGUGCGGCCACCAAACUCGAACAACUGUUAACAAUGGAUAUCUUGGUUCUC